AACGAACGCUGGCGGCAUGCCUAACACAUGCAAGUCGAACGAGACCUUCGGGUCUAGUGGCGCACGGGUGCGUAACGCGUGGGAACCUGCCCUUAGGUUCGGAAUAACUCCCCGAAAGGGGUGCUAAUCCCGGAUAAUGUCUUCGGACCAAAGAUUUAUCGCCUUUGGAUGGGCCCGCGUUGGAUUAGCUAGUUGGUAGGGUAAAAGCCUAUCAAGGCGACGAUCCAUAGCUGGUCUGAGAGGAUGAUCAGCCACACUGGGACUGAGACACGGCCCAGACUCCUACGGGAGGCAGCAGGGGGGAAUAUUGGACAAUGGGCGAAAGCCUGAUCCAGCAAUGCCGCGUGAGUAAUGAAGGCCUUAGGGUUGUAAAGCUCUUUUACCCGGGAUGAUAAUGACAGUACCGGGAGAAUAAGCUCCGGCUAACUCCGUG
rnacentral:rRNA from 1 species